rnacentral:rRNA from 1 species
UACGUAGGGGGGCUAGCGUUGUCCGGAAUCAUUGGGCGUAAAGCGCGUGUAGGCGGUCCGGUAAGUCCGCUGUGAAAGUCGGGGGCUCAACCCUCGGAUGCCGGUGGAUACUGUCGGGCUUGAGUACGGAAGAGGCGAGUGGAAUUCCUGGUGUAGCGGUGAAAUGCGCAGAUAGUCAGGAGGAACACCAAUUGCGAAGGCAGCUCGCUGGGACGUUACUGACGCUGAGACGCGAAAGCGUGGGGAGCAAACAGG